UCUAAGCUGGAAGAAGUAAAAGUGGGAGUGGAAAGAAAGAAACUUUUUUUUUCUCAGCAGAACUUUAUGACCUUUGAAUUAUGGACUUGUUGGAAUUAAUUUAGGGAUUAGGUUACAAUUUGCUUAUAGCCGAUUGUGGGAUAAACUCAUCUACUAAACCCCUUUAAACCUGAGUGACAUGUAUGUAGGACUGAACAGUUCUUCCAGACUCACUCUCCGAGGAUAGCAUUGUCGAUUGCUCCUUUGGCUCCCCCACGCCCCACCCCCACAUCUACUUUCAAACUCAUGGGCGGCUGUGAGGGUUGCACAUUUCCCUGUUCUGUGUCCCUAGGUGUACUGGGAUGGGCAGACUGGUGUGUCCAGGGAAAACUGCGUUCCAGUGAGUGCCAGGUCACACCCAGACUACAUCUUUCCAGCCUGGUGAAGCCAGAGGGAAGUAGAGAUAGGAACACGGAAUCCAAAGAGAAACUUUUGCCUUCGCCGGCAUCAUUUUCCUUAGAUAGGCAUUUGAGGAGUUCACCAUUUUUUUUUUCCUUCUAAUGAAAGAAGCCUGACCUGUUCCUCUCUCCUUCAUGACUCACACAUUCCUUCCUAUCUAGCUCCGGUUUCCCGACUUCUGCCCCAGUGGCUACUUUUUGCCUUUUUCUUCUUUAGCCCCUAUUACUCUUUGGUACCACAUCUUCAUCAGUGCCUCCUCAGUGCCAGACCCCAGGAGCGUUGGCGCCCUCUCCAACUUCCUGUUCAAGGAUGCACAUCUGUUCAGCGAGCGAGGAAAACCUCUGUCUUCUGAUUCUGUAGGAUGAUACGUUUGUGUUGCUGUUGAUAGGGACAGUGCAUUUCAUUUACCACACAUUGAAUUCCUGAAAGUCACAAUGCCAUGCUACAAUGCAAUGCAGUCUCAAUGUGCUCAGAGACCAGCCUGAAAAACAGAAGACAAUUCACAGAACACAAAGUUCCCAGUUGCAGAGGAAGUCACCUAAGAUGCCAGGGACAGACCAGUAUUAAUGAUCCCAGCAAAAUAUUUGCUGUGUGAACCUCAGACCUUGUACCUGAUUCUGUUUUGGACCUGGAUAGGAAAAAACUUAACAACUGAGAAAAAGCAGCCCUGGAAAUGUAAUACCGGGUUAGAUUUGAGGAUGGUCAACUGUCGUCCUCCAGGUCUUAUAUUUCACUCUGUCUUCUGUCACUGUAAAGACUGGGGAAAAAAGACAAGUUUGAUUUCCUCAAAGUCUAACCCAAACGUGCUUGAGUGAAAACAUCACAAACACU